rnacentral:piRNA from 1 species
UCCCACUCACUCACUCACUCUCGGCCU